GCGAAUUUAUAGUGAGAAACCGCAAGAAAAUGAAGAUGGUGGGUGAGAAAAUAAAUAAUUAAAAGAGGAAUUUAGACAUAAAGGAAUGGAGACUAUAUUAUCAAAUUAUUCACGGUGUGUAUGCUCAGAGAAGAAUAUCCUCUCAAAGUAGAUCACAGAUAUUUCGUGAUCCUUCUUGGGUUUCUCUUGAUUUGAUUCAGUCCCAUUCUU
rnacentral:misc_RNA from 1 species